rnacentral:rRNA from 1 species
AAUGAGGAAUUUAUUGUUGAUUAGUAAAAAAAAUAUUUUUAUUAUUAGUAUUAGUAUAGAAAAUGUGAUAAUAAUUAUAGUGGAUUAGUAUAGUGAUAGAUUAUUGAAAUAUUGGUUUAAUUAGAUAAAAGAAGAGUUGAGUUUUUGUACCUUGUGUAUCAGGGUUUAUUAAAAAAAUUUUUAGGAUUGAGUAUUCUCGAAUUAUGAAGAGCUAAUAUUAUAUAUAUUUAAUUGUGUCAAAACUUUUUACAAUAUGAUAUUAGAAAUGAAACGUUAGUCGUUUUUUAAGAUAUCUAGUUUUUUAAGAAAUGAAUUUAAUUUAGUUAAUUAAAUAUUUUAUGUUACAUUAUUAAUAUAAAGUUUUAUUUAAGUAAUAAUUUAAGGGAUAAGCUUUAAGUUAAAUUAUUAAAAUAUGAUUUAUUAUAUAAAGGUUAGUAGGAUUGGUAAUUUUUAUCUGUAGUUUGUUAUAAUUAACUUUUAUUGAGUUAAGAUUUAUAUAGAGUGUUUAAAGGUUUUAUUAAAAUGAUUUAUUGAAUGAUAUAGUAGAUGUAAUAAUGGUAAAAUUAGUAUAGAGUAUUGUAUUGUUAAGUUUGUUGUUGAAGGUUAAGUUAAGGAAUUCGGCAAAAUGAUCUCUCGCCUGUUUAUUAAAAACAUGUCUUUUUGAUUAUAAUUUAAAGUCUGACCUGCCCAAUGAGGAGUUAAAUGGCCGCGGUAAUUUGACCGUGCAAAGGUAGCAUAAUCAUUAGUUUUUUAAUUGGAAGCUGGAAUGAACGGUUGGACGAGGGGAUAACUGUCUCAAUUUAAUUGGUUUAGAAUUUUAUUUUUAAGUAAAAAAGCUUAAAUGAGUUUAAAAGACGAGAAGACCCUAUAGAGUUUUACAUAAGUUGUGAUUUAAAGGCAUUAGUAUUUAGUUAUUUGAAUUGUAUUUUGUGUUUUGUUGGGGCGACAGAAAAAUUGAAUGAACUUUUUUUUUAUUGGUACAUUAAUAUAUGAGUAAGUGAUCCGUUGAUAACGAUUAUAAGAUUAAAUUACCUUAGGGAUAACAGCGUAAUUUUUUUUGAGAGUUCUAAUCGAAAAAAGAGUUUGCGACCUCGAUGUUGGAUUAAAAUUAAUUUUUGGUGUAGGAGCUGGAAUAUUAGGUCUGUUCGACCUUUGAAAUUUUACAUGAUCUGAGUUUAAACCGGCGUGAGCCAGGUUGGUUUCUAUCUUUAAAUAGAUUAAGUGUUUUAGUACGAAAGGACCAAAUACUUGUAAUAGUUACUAUGUUUUGAAUAGUAUUAAUU